rnacentral:rRNA from 1 species
CUUAUUGAUAUAGGGAAAUACUAUUUAGUGGAUGUUGGUUAUACCAAUGGAGAAGGAUGUCUAGCUCCAUUCAGGUCCACUCGGUAUCAUCUAAAAGAACGGGCUGCAAGUGCACAAGAGCCUCAAACCGAGGAGGAGUUAUAUAACUUGCGCCAUUCUCGUGCUAGGAAUGUAGUGGAGCGAACAUUUGGCUUGUUCAAGAAAAAAUGGGUUAUCUUGCGUUCCUAA